AGGGUUUGACAUCCUUGGAAUUUCUAUGAAAGUAGAGAGUGCUUUAUUGAGCCAAGUGACAGGUGAUGCAUGGCCGUCGUCAGCUCGUGUCGUGAGAUGUUUGGUUAAGUCCAUCAACGAGCGCAACCCUUGUGAAUAGUUGUAUUUUUCUAUUCAGACUGCCCCGGUAACGGGGAGGAAGGUGGGGAUGACGUGCUUGCUAGGUAA
rnacentral:misc_RNA from 1 species